rnacentral:rRNA from 1 species
CAGCCGCCGCGGUAAUACGUAGGUGGCAAGCGUUGUCCGGAAUUAUUGGGCGUAAAGGGCUCGCAGGCGGUUUCUUAAGUCUGAUGUGAAAGCCCCCGGCUCAACCGGGGAGGGUCAUUGGAAGCUGGGAAACUUGAGUGCAGAAGAGGAGAGUGGAAUUCCACGUGUAGCGGUGAAAUGCGUAGAGAUGUGGAGGAACACCAGUGGCGAAGGCGACUCUCUGGUCUGUAACUGACGCUGAGGAGCGAAAGCGUGGGGAGCGAACAGGAUUAGAGACCCCUGUAGUCCCUGUCUCUUAUAC